rnacentral:rRNA from 1 species
GGCGAGUGAAGCGGGAAGAGCUCAAAUUUGAAAUCGCGUCCGGGUAACCGGGUCGCGAGUUGUAAUUUGAUGAGGUAAACUUGGUGGGCGCCUGGGUCUAAAUCCUUUGGAAAAGGGUAUCAUAGAGGGUGACAAUCCCGUCUGUGGCUCAGUCAGCGGUCUAUCGUGUAAGUUGCCUUCAAAGAGUCGGGUUGUUUGGGAAUGCAGCCCUAAGCUGGUGGUAAAUUCCAUCUAAAGCUAAAUAUUCGUGAGAGACCGAUAGCGAACAAGUACCGUGAGGGAAAGUUGAAAAGCACUCUGGAGAGAGAGUCAAACAGCACGUGAAAUUGUUAACAGGGAAACGUUGGGCCCCAGUACGCGCCUCGCGUAAAAUCAACCAUCUCUUCCCCGAGGGUAUCCGUGCCGGGUGGAUGAGUCCUUAAGAAGGGCCAUUGCCUGGUCGGUGCCCGAGGGGGGUGGUGCACUUUUGCGUGGGCGGGUCAACGUCAGUUAGAGCCACCGGAAAAUCCUGGGAGGAAUGUUGGCGAAGGCAACGGACCCACUUAUAGCCUCCCUUGAAAACGGUGACCCUGACUGAGGAGUCGCAGCCUCAUCAUAUGGCGCGCGCGUCUCCCUUCCCCCUGUGGGUAAGGCAGCUUGCUGACUUGCCUCGGUAAGGGAGGGGACUGCGCGUGUGCCUGGUGGGGCCACGGACGUUGGCGAAAUGGUUCUCAACGACCCGUCUUGAAACACGGACCAAGGAGUCUAACAUGUGUGCGAGUAUUUGGGUGCAAAACCCGAAUGCGCAAUGAAAGUGACCGCAGGGGAGAAGGGUGACCCUCUCGGGGGUCGCCCCGCAUCCUCGACCGAUCCGAUUGCCCUCCGUGGCGACGGGUUUGAGUUUGAGCAUAUCUGUUAGGACCCGAAAGAUGGUGAACUAUGCCUGAGUAGGAUGAAGCCAGAGGAAACUCUGGUGGAGGUCCGUAGCGAUUCUGACGUGCAAAUCGAUCGUCGAACUUGGGUAUAGGGGCGAAAGACUAAUCGAACCAUCUAGUAGCUGGUUCCCGCCGAAGUUUCCCUCAGGAUAGCAGAAACGCGUUAACAGUAUUAUGAGGUAAAGCGAAUGAUUAGAGGCCUUGGGGGCGGAAUGCCCUUAACCUAUUCUCAAACUUUAAAUAUGUAAGAAGUCCUUGCCACUUAAUUGGGCAUGGACGUUGUUGUAUGAGCGUUUCUAGUGGGCCAUUUUUGGUAAGCAGAACUGGCGAUGUGGGAUGAACCAGACGGGAGGUUAAGGUGCCGGAAUGUACGCUCAUGUAGACACCACAAAAGGUGUUGGUUCAUCUAGACAGCAGGACGGUGGCCAUGGAAGUCGGAAUCCGCUAAGGAGUGUGUAACAACUCACCUGCCGAAUGAACUAGCCCUGAAAAUGGAUGGCGCUCAAGCGUACUACCCAAACCUCCCCGCCACGGGUUAAUGCGAUGCCCUGGCGAGUAGGCGGGCGUGGGGGUUGUGAAGAAGC